CCUACGGGUGGCAGCAGUGGGGAAUAUUGGGCAAUGGGCGCAAGCCUGACCCAGCAACGCCGCGUGAAGGAAGACGGCUUUCGGGUUGUAAACUUCUUUUGUCAGGGACGAAGCAAGUGACGGUACCUGACGAAUAAGCCACGGCUAACUACGUGCCAGCAGCCGCGGUAAUACGUAGGUGGCAAGCGUUAUCCGGAUUUAUUGGGUGUAAAGGGCGUGUAGGCGGGAAUGCAAGUCAGAUGUGAAAACUAUGGGCUCAACCCAUAGCCUGCAUUUGAAACUGUUUUUCUUGAGUGCUGGAGAGGGAAUCGGAAUUCCGGGUGUAGCGGUGAAAUGCGUAGAUAUACGGAGGAACACCAGUGGCGAAGGCGGAUUACUGGACUGUAACUGACGUUGAGGCGCGAAAGCGUGGGGAGCAAACAGGAUUAGAUACCCCAGUAGUC
rnacentral:rRNA from 1 species